rnacentral:rRNA from 1 species
AUUGAACGCUGGCGGCAGGCCUAACACAUGCAAGUCGAACGAGUGGCGGACGGGUGAGUAAUGUCUGGGCAACUGCCCGAUGGAGGGGGAUAACUACUGGAAACGGUAGCUAAUACCGCAUACCAUCGGAUGUGCCCAGAUGGGAUUAGCUGGGAGGGGGGGUAACGGCUCACCUAGGCGCCGAUCCCUAGCUGGUCUGAGAGGAUGACCAGCCACACUGGAACUGAGACACGGCCCAGACUCAUACGGGAGGCAGCAGUGGGGAAUAUUGGACAAUGGGAGCAAGCCUGAUGCAGCCAUGCCGCGGGGAUGAAGAAGGCCUUCGGGUGGUAAAGUACUGUCAGCGAGGAGGCGUUACUCGCAGAAGAAGCACCGGCUAACUCCGUGCCAGCCGCCGCGGUAAUUC